GGGGGGAUGCCCGAGUGGUUAAAGGGGGCAGACUGUAAAUCUGUUGCCAAAGGCUACGUUGGUUCAAAUCCAACUCUCCCCACCA
rnacentral:tRNA from 1 species